rnacentral:rRNA from 1 species
AUUGAACGCUGGCGGCAGGCCUAACACAUGCAAGUCGAACGAGUGGCGGACGGGUGAGUAAUGUCUGGGAAACUGCCCGAGGGAGGGGGAUAAAUACUGGAAACGGUAGCUAAUACCACAUACCAUCGGAUGUGCCCAGAUGUGAUUAGCUAGGAGGUGGUGGAACGGCUCACCAAGGCGACGAUCCCUAGCUGGUCUGAGAGGAUGACCAGCCACACUGGAAAUGAGACACGGUCCAGACUCCGACGGGAGGCAGCAGUGGGGAAUAUUGCACAAUGGGCGCAAGCCUGAUGCAGCCAUGCCGCGUGUAUGAAGAAGGCCUUCGGGUUGUAAAGUACUUUCAGCGAGGAGGCGUUACUCGCAGAAGAAGCACCGGCUAACUCCGUGCCAGCAGCCGCGGUAAUAC